rnacentral:rRNA from 1 species
UGGGGAAUAUUGCACAAUGGGGGGAAACCCGUGAUGCAGCGACGCCGCGUGAGUGAAGAAGUAUUUCGGUAUGUAAAGCUCUAUCAGUAGGGAAGAAAAUGACGGUACCUGACUAAGAAGCCCCGGCUAACUACGUGCC